rnacentral:rRNA from 1 species
AAUUCGCCCUUAGAGUUUGAUCAUGGCUCAGGAUGAACGCUGGCGGUCUGCUUAACACAUGCAAGUCGAACGGGAACCUUCGGGUUCUAGUGGCGGACGGGUGAGUAACGCGUGAGAAUCUGCCUUUUGGACGGGGACAACAGUUGGAAACGACUGCUAAGACCCGAUAUGCCCUUCGGGGUGAAAUAAUUUAUUGCCAGAAGAUGAGCUCGCGUCUGAUUAGCUAGUUGGAGAGGUAACGGCUCACCAAGGCGACGAUCAGUAGCUGGUCUGAGAGGAUGAUCAGCCACACUGGGACUGAGACACGGCCCAGACUCCUACGGGAGGCAGCAGUGGGGAAUUUUCCGCAAUGGGCGCAAGCCUGACGGAGCAAGACCGCGUGGGGGAGGAAGGUCUGUGGAUUGUAAACCCCUUUUGUCAAGGAAGAACACAAUGACGGUACUGACGAAUC